GAUAGAACAAUGUAGGUAAGGGAAGUCGGCAAAAUGGAUCCGUAACUUCGGGAGAAGGAUUGGCUCUGAGGGCCGAGCGACCCGCUGCUAGCUUCGGAAGAGGGAAUCAUAGAGCGGGAGUCCGCGAGGUGGCAUAUUAAUUUGGACUUGGGCGCACCGAACGGCGAACGUUCUACCCUCGGAAGGGCAGGCGGACGGAGCGGGGUAGGGGUGACUCUCCCCGUUUUCGGCACGGGCGCGAGGAACGGCUCGAUCAGAACUGGCACGGUCCGGGGGAAUCCGACUGUUUAGUAAAAACAUAGCGUCUCGAAGGCCGGAGAUCGGUGUUGACGGGACGUGAUUUCUGCCCAGUGCUCUGAAUGUCACGGUGAAGAAAUUUACGGAAGCGCGGGUAAACGGCGGGAGUAACUAUGACUCUCUUAAGGUAGCCAAAUGCCUCGUCAUGUAAUUAGUGACGCGCAUGAAUGGAUUAACGAGAUUCCCACUGUCCCUAUCUACUAUCUAGCGAAGCCACAGCCGGAGGAACGGGUCCGGGGCUGUCAGCGGGGAAAGAAGACCCUGUUGAGCUUGAUUCGCGAUUGGCUUGGUUGGGCGAGAGCGCAGGUGUAGCUUAGGUGGGAUUGCUUUACGGCGCAAGUGAAAGACCACUACUGCGUUCCUCGUUCAACUCACUCGAUGAGGACCACGAGAGCGGCCGCAUUCGGGGCGGUGUCGGCGA
rnacentral:ncRNA from 1 species